GCAGUCGCCGCGGUAAUACGGAGGGAGCUAGCGUUGUUCGGAAUUACUGGGCGUAAAGCGCGCGUAGGCGGUUACUCAAGUCAGAGGUGAAAGCCCGGGGCUCAACCCCGGAACUGCCUUUGAAACUAGGUGACUAGAAUCUUGGAGAGGUCAGUGGAAUUCCGAGUGUAGAGGUGAAAUUCGUAGAUAUUUGGAAGAACACCAGUGGCGAAGGCGACUGACUGGACAAGUAUUGACGCUGAGGUGCGAAAGCGUGGGGAGCAAACAGGAUUAGAUACCCCUGUAGUCCCUGUCUCUUAUAC
rnacentral:rRNA from 1 species